rnacentral:tRNA from 1 species
CCUUCGAUAGCUCAGUUGGUAGAGCGGUGGACUGUAGUGUUUGAAACAUUGAGUUUGUGUAGAAAUCCAUAGGUCGCUGGUUCAAAUCCGGCUCGAAGGA